GUUUCCGUAGUGUAGCGGUUAUCACGUCUGCUUCACACGCAGAAGAACCCCGGUUCGAUCCCGUGCGGGAACA